GUCUCAGCUCGAGCAUUCCUAGCGCCAACACGCCCUCAGGUAAAGGUGGAAGUAAAUGGCCACGCUGUAUUGACAGAGGUAGGGUUUGUUUUUUAAUACUCGUUCUCACUUUAAGUCUCACCAGGGAGGGGUUUGGGAAGCACUGCGUGUUUGGGGGACGUUUUGCGCUUCCUGGUCUCUCCAGCCUACAAGUCGGGAGUCGGCGACCGCUUAGUGACGAGCGAUGAUUUUAAAGAGCAGAAUAAAAGGUUUUCCCGUGCCUGCCCCACAGCCCCUCCAGCUCGAAUAAUGGAGAACUGUCAAUGCACUCCGCGAGCGGUGGCCCAUUGUACGCAGCUGAUGGCGAGGAGGCGACUGGGGGUAGCAGGGGCUCCUUGCCCUCGUCCCUAUGCCCAAAUAAACGCGCAAACGCGCUCCCGUCUUCUGGUCAGUUAAAAGGUGAAACGAACACGAUUAAAAUAGACCAAAAGAAAAGAAAGAAAAGAAAACCUUUCUAUGUACAGAUUCUAAAUCGUACUCCCCAUACAGUCAGAGGCAGGGAGUCGAGGGCAGAGGCAGCAGGCGGAGAGAGGGAGAUAGGGCGAGGGAAGGAGAACGCGGAGAGAGACGAAGGGAGUGGGAGACCAGCGACAGCGAGCGCCAGGGCACCGCAGGCACACUGGAUGCCCAGUCCGCCGGCCCAGCCGCCCUCGGACCCUGGACCGUGCGUCGUGGGCACCAGAAACGAGACUCGGCCAAAUCCUGCCUCACCAGACAGGGACUGAGAAACGGAAAUACUACCAUCCUCCAGCCAAUCUGUUGGGAGGACUGCUUGCAGAGGACUCGUGCUCCAGAUGUUGCACUAGAGGCGCUGCAAGUGUGAGCAGCAGGUAGAUGAAACUCAAGAGAAAAGGUGUGGAUAAAUGAAACUAGCCCAUGAUGAACCUGUUUUCUCCGUGACCACAAUAUUAACCAGGAUGAAUGGCGGUGGCAGUGGGCCUGCAUCACAGGUUGCAGCAGAUGUUCUCAAUAUUUCUAUUAAAAUUUCCUUAUUUCCAUAUGCAAGAGGAGCCCCAGAGCUGCAUCCUUAUGGUAGCUACCAUGCCGUGAUGUAAGCUGCCAUUCACUGGGGAGCUUUGGCAAUAGAAUUGGCUAGAUCAGGAAGCCUAUGUCAACUAUGGAACAACAACUUGCAGCUCAUCUCUAUUGAUGGUGAAACAGUCGCAAAUGGAAUUCCAAGAAACAUUCUAUAUACACUGCCUCUAGGACUGGGACAGAUAGCCACUGAGUACCUGCUUCAAAUCACCCUGCACGUUUUCUCUUUGGAAAGAUAAGCACUGGAGAACCAUCUCGUUACCUUCAGCAGAAAUGGAAACAAAUCAAGACAUUAAGAAUGCCGCAGUGGACAGCAGUUAUGCAAGGUUCAGCAGAGGAAGUUUUCAAGAUGGUGUGCCUCACUAGCCAGAAAUCAGAAAAGAUCGAAGCUAGCCUUUUCAUCUCAGCUGCUCCUUAAAUCAGUGCAACCCCUCCAAAUUAAUGUGAAUUGAAACUUGCAUUGCUUUUCAACUUAAUUGAAUACUUACUAUAUGUGAACCACUGCACAAAAUAGGGGAAGAAGAUGUGGGAGACAAAGAUGUGGAGCCUGUCUUCAAUAAAUUUACAGUUAGUUUCAGGGUACAUUGUUUUUCUUCUGCUGUUAAUUAGGUGUAUCCCCAAGACAAUAAAUACAUGAAUGGAAAAGUAUAUUCUGUGUUUUAAGUCUCUUUAAUAAAAAACAAAACAAAAUCCAAAAAAACUCCUAACAUGGCAACUCAGGACAUUUUAAUCCUUUUUUUUGUUGUUGGGCUUCUGAUAGGAUCCAUUUUAUUGAUUCCAUAAAUAUUUAGUAGACUUUAGACAUAUUAAUACAUUGUAGUUUGAGUUAAUUUGCAUUAAAUUCUGUUUUUUUCCCCUUAGGUAUAGAUUGUCUGUUGGAAAAAUAUAUUGCUUGUGGAUUUCUUGGGGAGUGGGAAGGUGAAUUAUACCUGUUGUCUCUACAGUCCACUACCUUCCACACCCUAGGGCAGUGGUCCCCAACCUUCUUGGCACCAGGGAUCAGUUUCCUGGAAGACAAUUUUUCUGUGGAUGGUGUGGGGAUGGUUUUGGGAUGGAACUGUUCCACCUCAGAUCAUCAGGCAUUAGUUAGGCUCUCAUAACGAGUGCGCAGCCUAGAUCCCUCACAUGCACAGUUCACAGUAGGGUUUGCGCUGCUAUGAGAAUCUAAGGCUGCCACUGAUCUGACAGGAGGCAGAACUCAGGUGGCAAUGCUUACUGGCCCACUGCUCACCUCUUGCUGUGCGGCCUGGUUCCUAAUAGGCCAUGGACCCCCACAGACGGGUACUAGUCUGCAGCCUGUGGACCCCAGCCCUAGGGGCCUGCCAUUCUGAGUGAGUUAUUAGCAUGAAGAAGAGGAAGAUCUGGAUCAAACGUGGGUGAUGGUACUCAGAGACCCAAGAUAGGAUAGGGAUGGAACAAAAUCCAUCUGGGCAACGGCUCUAUGAAAAUUUGGCUAAGUAAUUAUUUCAGUAUUCAUUGUAUUCAUUGUCCUUCGUGUUCCAUAAGUUAAAUGACUGUCUAAUUUUUCCAAAAAUUUAUUUCUGACUUGAGAAUAAGUGUGUCAUGAUUUUCCCAGUGUAAAGACACUGAUAUAACUGUAGAUACCAGACAUUUUAUGUAGUGUCUAUGACACAUUUUAGUAUGUAUGAGCCAACAAUAGACAUGUCUUUGUCUUGAGGAGUGUCCAUCUGAAUUGAAAAUGUGUCAGCUUUUUUUUAACAUCAUCAACAGACUUCUUAAUUAAGCUGCCAAUACAUACUGCCAAUAGCACUGUGUGCUGUCUGAGAAAUGCAUUGUGUAAGUGCUAUUUCCAUCUUAUUAAAUAAACAAUGUUGCUCUGUAUAAACUGGAUUUAAAGUGUUCUUUGAAUGAGGCAUUAUAUUGCUCCAUAAAUAAUGUGAUGUGAAUUCUCAUAUGAUCCCUUUUAACUUAAUUUCUAAAAAAAUAUUAUUUGCUCCUCAGUAAGGAAUAGCUCUAAUUGGACUGGUAACUUUAGUGAUAUGAUUUGUCUGUAACAGGCUGAAUCGCCCCACUCCCAAACUCCUGGUCGUGAUACUGGAUAUUUGUUAUGCCACUUUUAGUUUGCAUGAGGUAUCUUCCAGGAAGUAUUAGUUAUUAACUUGUGUUCUACUAAACUGUAGAUAUUUAUUUCCUGUUCUGGAAGAUUUCUUGGAGUGUCCAUCUGUGCAUUCCUGGUGCCUAGUGUAGUCUUGCUAAUGGAAUAGCACCUUUAUUGGUGCUACUUAGGGGUUGGUAGCUUACAAUCAAUCUACUUGGAACGUAUCCAAAUAAACUGGAUAUUUUUAUACA
rnacentral:lncRNA from 1 species